UACGAAGGGGGCUAGCGUUGUUCGGAAUUACUGGGCGUAAAGCGCACGUAGGCGGAUAUUUAAGUCAGGGGUGAAAUCCCAGAGCUCAACUCUGGAACUGCCUUUGAUACUGGGUAUCUCGAGUAUGGAAGAGGUGAGUGGAAUUCCGAGUGUAGAGGUGAAAUUCGUAGAUAUUCGGAGGAACACCAGUGGCGAAGGCGGCUCACUGGUCCAUUACUGACGCUGAGGAGCGAAAGCGUGGGUAGCAAACAGG
rnacentral:rRNA from 1 species